GCCUGGAUUAACUCAGUCGGUAGAGCAUCAAACUUUCAAUCUGAGGGUCCAGGGUUCAACUCCCUGUUCAGGUA